rnacentral:rRNA from 1 species
UCGAGAAUUUUUGGCAAUGGGGGAAACCCUGACCAAGCGAUGCCGCGUGCGGGAUGAAGGCCUUCGGGUUGUAAACCGCUGUCAGUGGGGAGAAAAGGAUGGUGAGUUAUCUCAUCAUUUUGAUCUAUCCGCAGAGGAAGUGUAGGCUAAGCUCGUGCCAGCAGCCGCGGUAAGACGAGCUACACAAACGUUAUUCGGAAUUACUGGGCUUAAAGGGUGCGUAGGCUGCGCGGAAAGUUGGGUGUGAAAUCCCUCGGCUCAACCGAGGAACUGCGCCCAAAACUACCGUGCUCGAGGAAGAUAGAGGUGAGCGGAACUUACGGUGGAGCGGUGAAAUGCGUUGAUAUCGUAAGGAACACCCGUGGCGAAAGCGGCUCACUGGGUCUUUUCUGACGCUGAUGCACGAAAGCUAGGGGAGCAAACGG